UACUUCCUGGGCUGUUUUCAGAAAGAGAGAGAAGGGAGCUUAACAAAUGUUUCCGUGUUUGCUUUUGAAGGGAGGACAGCUAUCUGUUGGGCGCAAGCUGACCCUAGGCUGUUCAUAUGGCAUCUUUGGGGAACUUGAAUCAACAACUUCCAGCUCAGAAGGAAUUUGAAUUUUAAAAGAAGAGCUUCCUAAAGCAAAUGAAUCCCUGAUCCGGGAAGAUCCCACAUGCUGCAGACAACUGAGCCUGUGUGCCAAAACUAUCGAGCAUGUGCUCCAGAGCCCAGGUGCCACAACUGCUGGGUCAAUGUGCCACAACUACUGAAGCUCAAACGCCCUAGAACCUGUGCUCCGCAAGGAGAUGCAUGACCACAACUAGAGAGUAGCCUCUGCUGGCUGCAACUAGAGAAAAGCCCGUGCGGCAACAAAGACCCAGCAUAGCCAAAACUAAAUACAAUUAUUUAGAAAAGAUAAAGCAAAUGAGUCAUGUGGGUUACAAUAACUGUUCAUUGUGCAUAUUUGGGGAAUUGAAAAGCGUACACAUGUACAAGCCUAAGUUUUACAUUCUGAAGCUCUAUAUUAGGGUUUGAACAUCUCUAGUUUAGAAAGACUAUCACUGAUUCUGAUGCCCAGUCAGAGUCGCAAAAUCCUAUCUAUUGGUGAAUUAUUGUGAAAUAUUGUAAGUUUUGCUUUGUCUGUUCUUGACUUAAACAUCCAUUCUGUUAUCCAUGGCUGUGUAAUAAAAUACCUGAAG